AUACGUAGGGGGCGAGCGCUGUCCGGAAUGACUGGGCGUAAAGGGCGUGUAGGCGGCGCUGUAAGUCUGGAGUGAAAGUCCUGUUUUCAAGAUGGGAAUUGCUUUGGAUACUGCAGAGCUUGAGUGCGGAAGAGGUAAGUGGAAUUCCCAGUGUAGCGGUGAAAUGCGUAGAGAUUGGGAGGAACACCAGUGGCGAAGGCGGCUUACUGGACCGUAACUGACGUUGAGGCUCGAAGGCGUGGGGAGCAAACAGGAUUAGAUACCCUGGUAGUCCACGCGGUAAACGAUGAUCACUAGGUGUCCGUGGGUAUGACCCAUGGGUGCCGCAGCCAACGCAAUAAGUGAUCCACCUGGGGAGUACGUUCGCAAGAAUGAAACUCAAAGGAAUUGACGGGG
rnacentral:rRNA from 1 species